rnacentral:lncRNA from 1 species
AACAGUCGCCCUGCAGUUCAAGCACCUCUUCGAAUUCUACCCAAAACCCGGGGCCCUUGGUCCACCGACCUCUGCGACUGCUUCUCUGAUGUCAACAACUGUAAGAUCAUAUACAUAUUUGAAUUUGAUUACCAUAAACUUAACUUCGUUUUAACCCCGUAUUUACUCCCACCAUUCAUCUGAACCACACAAAAAAAAUAGUCUCUUUUCUAAAUUUUUAAUAAUCUUCGGAACUAAUUCUGUUUUUAUUAUUAAUAAUAAUAUUAAAUAAAACAUAUAGUAAUAUAUUUCAUUAAUUAUCUCGCCACAAUUACAUCUUUAUGUUUGUAAAUUUUGUAGGUGAGUGUUUUUGUGAAGGAGAGAGUGUAUAGUUUUGUAAAAGAUGAUUAAUUAUCAUAUUAUAUUAUUAGCAAUAAAUUGAUUUAGAAGCUGGUUCUCGAUCGGAUUGUUGAUAUAUAUAUAUAUAUAUUCUGGCCUGCAGGUUGCAUAACGUUUUGGUGUCCGUGCGUUACUUUUGGACAAAUUGCAGAGAUUAUAGACAAGGGAUCAUCUUGUAAGUAGUACUGAACCUUGAUCUACCUUGCUACAAAUAAAAAAUAUUACUUCAAUUUAAUUUACUACUUUCUUCUUCUUACCAUUAACUUGAACGAGUGCAGCAUGUUGUACGAGCGGAGCCCUAUACGCACUGAUAUGUUGCGUGACUUCGUGUUGCUGCCUAUCUUGUUUUUAUAGAACAAAGAUGAGGCAGCAAUAUUCUCUGCGCCAAACCCCUUGUGCCGAUUGCUUGGUCCAUUGUUGUUGCGAGCCAUGUGCCCUGUGUCAAGAAUAUCGCGAGCUCAAAAACAAUGGGUUCGACAUGUCCAUUGGUAAUACUAUACUAAACUUAUAGAGUUUGAAUUCUUUAUUUAAAAGAAAAUAAAAUGGUUAAUUAGUUGUUGUUAUUGAUGGAAUUAAUAUUUAAGCUUAUUUGGUUUGGUUUGGUUUGGUUUAAUUAAUAUAUAGGAUGGCAUGGAAAUGCCGAGAAACAAAACCUUGAAACGGAGAUAGCACCGGGGAUUGAAGCAGGAAUGACCCGCUAGCUGAGAAGGAUUCAUUACUUGUACCUG